rnacentral:rRNA from 1 species
UACGUAGGUGGCAAGCGUUGUCCGGAUUUAUUGGGUUUAAAGGGUGCGUAGGCGGUCCUAUAAGUCAGUUGUGAAAUACGGCAGCUUAACUGUCGAGGUGCAAUUGAUACUGCAGGACUUGAGUACAGACGAGGUAGGCGGAAUUGACGGUGUAGCGGUGAAAUGCUUAGAUAUCGUCAAGAACACCGAUAGCGAAGGCAGCUUACUAGACUGUAACUGACGCUGAUGCACGAAAGUGUGGGGAGCAAACAGG